rnacentral:rRNA from 1 species
AUUGAACGCUGGCGGCAGGCCUAACACAUGCAAGUCGAACGCGUGGCGGAGGGGUGUGUAAUGUCUGGGAAACUGCCUGAGGGUGGGGGAACACUUCGGGAAACGGUCGAUAAUCCCGCAUAAUAUCAGGUGUGCCCAGGGGGGAUUAGCUAGUUGGUGGGGUAACGGCUCACCAAGGCGACGCUCCCUAGCUGGUCUGAGAGGAUGACCAGCCACACUGGAACUGAGACACGGUCCAGACUCCUACGGGAGGCAGCAGUGGGGAAUAUGGCACAAUGGGCGCAAGCCUGAUGCAGCCAUGCCGCGUGUAUGAAGAAGGCCUUCGGGUUGUAAAGUACUUUCAGCGGGGAGGCGUUACCCGCAGAAGAAGCACCGGCUAACUCCGUGCCAGCAGCCGCGGUAAUAC